CAAUAGCGUAUAUUAAAGUUGUUGCAGUUAAAAAGCUCGUAGUUGGAUUUGUGGCGUACGGUGUGUGCCGGGCACUUGUUGUCUGAGUAACCUGCUGUUGCCAUCCUUGGGUGGAACCUGUGUGGCAUUAGGUUGUCGUGCAGGGGAUGCCCAUCAUUUACUGUGAAAAAAUUAGAGUGUUCAAAGCAGGCUUAUGCCGUUGAAUAUAUUAGCAUGGAAUAAUGAGAUAGGACUUUUUUGCUAUUUUGUUGGUUUGCGCAAAGAGGUAAUGAUUAAUAGGGACAGUUGGGGGUAUUCGUAUUCCAUUGUCAGAGGUGAAAUUCUUGGAUUUUUGGAAGACGAACUACUGCGAAAGCAUUUACCAAGGAUGUUUUCAUUAA
rnacentral:rRNA from 1 species